rnacentral:rRNA from 1 species
GAUGAACGCUGGCUACAGGCUUAACACAUGCAAGUCGAGGGGAAACGACGGGGAAGCUUGCUUCCCCGGGCGUCGACCGGCGCACGGGUGAGUAACGCGUAUCCAACCUGCCUCUGACUGAGGGAUAGCCCGUCGAAAGUCGGCCUAAUACCUCAUGGUAUCGUCUGCGGGCAUCCAACGACGAUUAAAGAUUUCAUCGGUCAGGGAUGGGGAUGCGUCUGAUUAGCUUGUUGGCGGGGUAACGGCCCACCAAGGCUACGAUCAGUAGGGGUUCUGAGAGGAAGGUCCCCCACAUUGGAACUGAGACACGGUCCAAACUCCUACGGGAGGCAGCAGUGAGGAAUAUUGGUCAAUGGGCGAGAGCCUGAACCAGCCAAGUAGCGUGCAGGAAGACGGCCCUAUGGGUUGUAAACUGCUUUUAUGCGGGGAUAAAGUGAGGGACGUGUCCCUCAUUGCAGGUACCGCAUGAAUAAGGACCGGCUAAUUCCGUG